AGAGAGAGAGAGAGAGAGAGAGAGAGAGAGAGAGAGACACGGGUUGUGGGCGCUGAACUAACUUUGAGCAUGAGGGGACAGUUUCCCUCUGUCCUCUCCGCUCCUCUCUACCUUCAGCCUUCCCUCGCCUGGACUCUUCUCCCCUCUACCCAACUUGCUCCCUGCUGGGUGCUCUUCUUUCAAAGUUUUAGGCGCUCUUCACCAUAGUGCUCUCUGGUUUCCGGGAUCCCGGAGUGGAAGCCCACGCUUGCCUCGCUCGGUGUUUGUGAAGUCGGAAAACUCUUAAAUGGGCCCUGGAAAUCUUUCUGAUUCCUCGAGCAAAUUGGCUGGAGGUGAGGUCGUGGUCCUGGGGGAAAGGAAGCAGCUGAUUCUCUGGCCGCGGGGACACCUGUGUGCAGUUGGCAGACCUGGGAAGCCAUCACCAAAGCCUUAAGCACAGCAGCUCAGCCCUCCUGAGAAUAGCGCUGGUCUGUGCUGCUUGUUACUGCUCGCAGAGGGGGGCCCCCAUCCCCGCCCCCAAACACACACGACCCUUAAUUUCCUUGCACGUGGUUGAUGGCUCUGCUUUAGAAUUAAGGCUGAUGAGUGGAAAUCUUCUUCACCUCUUAACUAUCUGGAAAGGCCUUGCAAGAGGAUAGUUUGCUUUGUUUUUUUGAGGUUUUUUUUUUUAUACAAUGCCUCCUGAACCCAAGACAGGCUUCCAAGUUGCCUUGGUUGACUUUUAACUGGCCCUCCUGUGUGCACCUCCCAACUGCUGGGACACGCCCAGCUUUACUAACUGGCUUAACCUAUUCUCCAAAAACCUCUAUUUCCCAUCUGUAGUAUGGAAAUGUGAGGUCGAUAUUAGGGAAAUAGUUAUUAAUCAUGCACUGCUUGGUAUGCAGUUCAUGCCAGCUACUAAAUAAAUUAGAAAGCUGUGUUAAUAAACACUUGUUGAGCUUCGUUUGACCCUCUGCUGGGUACUGGGGGCUAGAUGGUUUCCUGAAUCGGUGCUCUCCUCUGCCCUCUUAGCACCUCUGUGGAGCAGGAGUGCCCUGCAGUGUCUGCUAGACUAUGAAGAGUUCUCACGAACGUGCUUUCUCUGGUAGGGGAAGGAAAUUCUCAAAACUAUAACAGUAUAAGACAUCAGUAUAAGAACUUACAUGUUCUUGAACACAAAUUCAGGCUAUAGGGCCAGGUUUGUUGUUGUUAAUGUGAGCCCUGUCUGAUCUCAUAGUGUCUAUUAUUGUGUGCAAAAUGAUAGGUGUGUGUACCCACAGAGCUGUCACUCAGAACAUUUCCAGCUUGGCCAUGGCUCCUGUCACUCAACAUAUUACAGGGUUACCAAUAUUAAGAUCUCAGUCUUCAUAUAUCAAUUGUACCUGCAUCUGAACUGCACAUGGGGAAAGAAAGCAUGAGCAUGUUUCCGUCAAUGAGAUUUCUCCGUGUUGUAUGUAACCAUGUUUCAUUCUUCACUACUACAUACUCAUUAAAUAACCAAUAAUGUAUGCAGUCUGCUGACUGUUUGAUAUGCGUUUCACUUGCUUCAGGUUUUGAACGGUCCAUAGUGAAAUUGCUGUCCACAUUCUUCCCUGUGUCUUCUGUACAGCAUUGAGUUGUGUCAGGCACAUGCUGGAGACUGGAAAUUCUAGUUCACAGGGUAUCCACACGUUAAACUUUAAAUGUAUUUCCAGUUAUCUGAGUUAUUAAAGAUAACUAAAGGGGGGGGACAACAAGUGUAAACCAUAAAACAAACAACAAAUAGAUAUAUUUGUAAAGCAGAAUGGGAAAUCUGUUUAAUGUUCCAACCAGUGCUGUAAAGAUUCCCGAUGACCCCACAUAUUUACCACUUUGGGAUCAUGCUGUUUAAAGUUUUUCUAGUUACAUUUUACUGUUGUUGGAGGGGGGUGUGCGUGCCGCAGUGGGCGUGUGGAAGUCAUUGAACAACUUGUUGGGAGUUCCAGCUCUCCACCGUGUGUGAGCUGGGGACUGAGUUUAGGUCAUCCUCAGGCUUGGUCAUAAGCAGCUUUACCCUCUGAGCCAUCUCCGUGGCCCAAGUGUUUUCUUUGUAAAUGAAAAACCGGGAUGUGUAUUUCAUUAUAAUUAGACGUUCAUUUCUCUGGUGACCAGUACUACUGAGCAACUUCUCAAAUGUUUAUGAUCCAUUAUGAUGGUCUAUGGGGGGGAUGUAUCUAUGUGUGUCUUUUGCCCAUUUGAACUGUAUUCAGUUCUUCACAUAGUCUGGAUAUAACUCCUUUCUUAUAUCUCUUCCAAAUACCUUCUCUCAACCUGUAGCUGGUUUAUAGUUUACUGUUAUUAUCAGUAAAAAGAGUUUCUUAAUUUCCAAUCAGCCCAACUUACCAAGCAUAUCUCUAAUGUUUAGUGUUUAAGGAAUCUCUGCCUAGCCCAAAGCCACAAAGAUGGUUGCCUAUGCUCUCUUCUAAGAACUGGGUUUUAAGCCUUGAGGAAGUAACUGACCUUCUGCAAAGCUCCAAUCUCAAUAACAUUUAAACAAAUUAUUACCUUGGCCUUUGACAUGGAUAUGGUCAUCAGAGGUAGCUAUUGAUAUUAGUAGAUGUAAAAACAUCUACUACAAAAGUCAGCAUACAAUCUAGUGGUUUCUAUCAUGACGUUUCAGACAUAUAUGUUUGCCAUAUGCUGUGUUCUGUCCCUUCUCAGGUCUCUACCAGGUCCCCUCCCAGCUGGCUUCCCUGUUAGUCCCUUCUGUGCUCUUAUCACAAGAAACUUCUAAACCUAAAGUUUGAUCUGCCCUUUGCUUAGGUGACAUUUUGUUCAACGUCCUGAACAAAUUAGGUAAUUCUACGAUGGGGAGAUGGGGAGGGCCAGUCCAGAGACGAAACUUGUUAUAGUCCUGCAUGUGUAUGUUUCUCCUCAGAUUUCUUUUUUUAAUCCCCACAGCUUUUCUAAACUUUUUAGAAUUUUUGUUUCUUCUGUUUUUUUUUUUUUUUAAAUACACUGUGUUCUUUCUACCUCACCAACUGUGGCACCUUGAAGUUGGCAGGAGGCUCAGGAGGUUGCCAGGUCCUGCUCACUGGACAUGGAACCAGAUAAUUUAAACUAUCCAUGCAAGACUCUUGGUACCUCCUUGCCAAAUUCCAGCCUCUGCUGGCACAUAGCCAAUCAAAAUGCUUCAAAGACCUUUCCUUCCUUCUUUCCUUCUUUCUUUCUUUCUUUCCUUCCUUCUUUCUUUCUUUCUUUCUUUCCUUCUUUCUCUCUUUCUUUCUUUCUUUCUGUCUGUCUGUCUGUCUUUCUUUUUUCCAUUCAGAAUAAUCCACUGGUUUGUGCCUAGAGAAGCUGCAGUUGGGAAAACAGAUAAAACAGCCUUCAAAAUGCAAGAGUACCCUCUUUUAGAAUAACCCUAGAAAUUCCAUGUCUCAGUAAAACUAUUUUCAGUACUCCAGCAAGUCGAAGGAAUCCCUCCAUUACUGUUUGUUGAGUAAGAAAGACUUCAUUGGGUAGGAAAGACUUCUGGAAGAGUGAUCACGUGUUCCCUAAUUUACCAGUUUCUGAUGUCCUGACUUUUUGAUUACAUUAUCUCAGAGUGAGUUAUAAUAUUCAUUCAAAUAUCUUCUAGGCAUCUCCCAUAACAUGAUGAGUUGAGCAUUAUUAAUAUGCAUAUAGGGGAUGCAGGACCUCAGUAAGCACGUAGAUUAAUGAAUGUCCCUCCACACUAAGCAAAUUUAUGCUAUCUACAUACAGAUUAAGAAAUAAAGGAAUAGCGGGUUGGGGAUUUAGCUCAGUGGUAGAGCGCUUGCCUAGCAAGCGCAAGGCCCUGGGUUCAGUCCCCAGCUCCGGAAAAAAAAAAAAAAAAAGAAAAAGAAAAGAAAUAAAGGAAUAGCAAAGUGAUUGUAAUAUACUUUCAUACAAAUGCUUUGUCUACAUCUCAGGGAGUGGGGGUGGGGGGGCAAGAAGGAUUAUGGUUUAGUUUCCAUGGACCUUUACUUCCUCUCUGGCUUGUCCAGGCCAAUGUGCUUGUUGUUUGUUUUGGGUUUGGGUUUCCAUUAUUUUGGCAUUGCAAAAAGAAAAUUAAGUUUGGAGUAGUAAAAAGGUUCAGCUUUGAUUUGUAAGGAAGCUGUGUGGUUUGAAUGAAAAUGGCCCCCUUGGUUUAUAGGGAGUGGCGUUAUUUGGAGGCGUGGCCUUUGUCGGCGAGGUGUGUCACUGGGGGUUGGCUUCAGGGUUUCAAAUGCUCAAGCCAGGCCUAGUGUCUCUUCAUCCCUGCUGCCUGCUGAUCUGGAUGUAGAACUCCCAGCUACCACUCCAGGACCAUGUCUGCCUGUGUCCACCAUGCUUCCCACCAUGAUGACCUUGGACUACACCUCUGAACUGUAAGCCAGCCACAGUUAAAUGUUUUCCUUUAUAAGAAUUGCCACCGUCGUGGUGUCUCUUCAUAGCAGUAAAACCCAAAUUAAUACAGAAGUCCAGCAUGAGCAGACCCUAGGACGUGGUAUGAGCGGAUGGACUAGGAAGAGCGGAGGCACGGCUGCAAGGGAUGGCGAAGGGAAUAUGGUGAGGAGUAUCUGGUGGGGCCCAGACAGCAAGAAGGAUCACUGAGGCACUGACAGAAUAUCAAAGCUCUGCCCUCCCAGCCACCUCCAAUCGUUUCCCCCCUACUUUGAAGGUAUGUCCUUGGGGAAGGACAGAGGGUAGAGGGCAGGGCCUGUAUGCCAGUCCUAACCUGUAAGCCAUACACUUGAACAGACAGCCUCAUGUGUCUGAGUCCCAACUUCCUGACACAGACAGAAACGGUGACGAGAUUUGCUUCACGGAGCAGUGUGUUAACAGAGGAAGGGGGGAGGGACGGCAGGACCCUUUGCCUACUUUGCAUUCUAUUCCAUUACUGGCUAAGACAGGUGGUCAAGAGAGACAGAAGACAGCAAGCAGCAAAGAAUAAAUUCUCAACACCCUCUUUGUGUUUGCCCUAACUUCUACAACCCCUCUGUCCUAGGAUUAAGGUUUUAACUCUCCUAUGGGAAAGGAGAUUUUGUGUGUGUGAAUUGUUAAUUGAUCACCUCCUAUCUUGUGACUAACCCCUGGGUCAACACUGUAGAAUCUCCUGCAGCAGCCUUCCUCAGUGUGGAAACCACUAACACAGGAGCCCGUUCUAUUAGCAACUCCUGCUGUCUCCACACUCUUUGCCAAAGAAAGGGGAUGCCCUGCUUCUGGGAGUGGCCCACUCCCCUAACAGAUGUCAUUUUCUGCUCACACAUGGGUCUUAUGGCCCUCACGUCUGUCUGGACUUUUAGUCUCAAAAACUCAAAAGCGACAUUGGCUGGUUUAAGCAAGAUGGAAUUUAUCUAAAAUCUAUUAAGGGGCCCACAGAAUCAGCCAGACAGCUGGAUAUCAACUUGGCCAAUCAACCAUGCUACAAGGCAUGUGGCCUAAAAGGCCAACCUCAUGAUAGGUACAGGAGACAUCUGAACAUCAUGGUAGAUCUAGGCAGCAGGUGCUGCUGCUGCUGACCCUGAAAAUUGGCUGUAAUUGUACCACCUGGUAAGCAGAAUCUUCGUGUGGAUGCCCCUGUUGCACACCAUCACCAACUUGUCGUCAUAAUCUGGGAUUGGAAGAUGCAUCCGAUUAACCCCUCAGGCAAAGAAGGCCAACCUGUGGGUUAGCUGCCAUUUCUUUCUUCCCUGGGAACCAGCUUCUGCCUCUCAAAGCAGAAAGUUCUCCAGAAGGAGGAAGUGCACAUAUCAGUGGCCGGAAUAUGUUCUCUCCCUUCUAGCUUCCCGAUCUGUCUCCUGUGAGGUGUAUGCUGGCAGUUCGGCACCCUGUCAUCUUCCUGGCUCUGGGACACAAAGCAAACAGGUUUCUGAAGCCUGAGCCUGAGGCCAGGAAAAUGGAUUCUUGAGAAGUUUCUAGGGUGGAGGCCAUCCAGCUGGCCCUACCUUGCUAUACUCUCUUAGGCAGGUAGCACUUUUCCUCUUCAAAAUUCUUAGAAUAGGCACUUAGUGGAUGCCUGGUGGGAAGAAAAGGGGAGGGGGGAGGACUUUGGAUACCCACCCCUUGUUCAAGUCCUGGUUUCCAUUCCUCUUUGUGUGUGGGGUUUCCCCAUCUGUUAAAAAAAGAAAAUCUGCCCUGGUCACUCCCGCUGCCUCCAGCUCAGGCAGUGAGUGUCCGGAAGAGCAGGGUACAGGGCCGUGCUGCCCAAGGCGCUUUGCGGGGCUGGCUACCCAUAAUGACAGUGUCCCGGGGCUGGCGCUUGUGUAACAGGCAGAUUUACCAAGAGGGGACGGCUGUUUGCUCAGCAGCUGAGCAGUCUAUAAUUAGACUGUCACAACAUCAGCAAAAGUACAGGAUCAAUGUAAUCAGAGAAGAAAUGGAAAAGAACGCCGCAUCAGUCAAAGCCUCCAGUGGGUCUCCGUGGUUUCCGGAGCACUAAUCGCCCGGGCGGGGCUUGAUGCCCUGCUUGUGGAUUUCCUCCUGGGUGAAGACUAGGUUUGCUUCAGCGAACCAGACAGACCCUCUCAUCCACCUAGUUCUUUUCCUCAUCUCUCUGCCCUCUGAAAGGAAGCAGGACUUGCAGAUAAAACUCAUGGCUGAGACACAACUGAUCGCUAUAUGAGUGGGGAGGGCUAGCUUCUCCAACGCAAAGAUUCCUAGGUUCCAUCUCAACCCUGCACCACCAGAAGCUGUGUGGUGAGCACCAAACACAGACUGUGUGUGGCGCAUUCCCAGCUCUACAAAAAGCUGAGAGCUGCUAGGCCAUCCACUGGUCCCAGCUCACAGUGGACCUCUAGCUCCUACUGGACACCUGAGUGUUUUUAAACUCAGACUGAUUGACAGAGCAGCCAAGGGUAAAACACCUCUCAGAGCCUAGGAAUGACAGCAGGCUUACUUCCUUUUUAAUUAUCUUAAGAAUCCCAAGCUGCGGACAUGUUUAUCUCAUUAAUCCCAGUGACACCUGAGCCCUGGAGUCAUGUCCAAUGCCUUUAGCCUCCACCAAAGUAGAUAAGGGCUCACAUCUGUCUAUAAGUGAUUGGAAUCUGGGGCCUUGGGAGCCUUUUCCCAGCCUGAUUGUUACAGAAUCGACUAGAAUUUUUUUUAAAUCUGUGUGAUUUAUUUAGUAAGUUUUUUUACAUUAAUACUAUAUGGUAGAAAAACCAGAAACUAUAGAGGCGAAAGGACGAAGUAAAUUAUGACCAGUGCCACUAUGGUUCUGCCUUUUUGUGUUUAACCUUCCACGCUGUGCACAUGUGUUUGUGUGCGCUCGCAAAUGCAUUCCACUCCUGUAUAGGCAGAGUCUGCUCAAUGAGGGGCAAAGGUAAAGGUGACCUGUAUUGGUGACUCUCCUUGUUACUGUGACAGGAUAUCGUACAAAAGCAACUGAAGGAAGGAGGGCUUUAUUCUUGCUCACAGUUGGAGGGUGCAGUCCAUCAUGACGGGUAAGCCCUGGCUGCAGGAGCUUGACAAGGCUGCUCACAUCGCAUCCAUACUUAGGCAGCAGAAAGCAACGGAUGUUUGUCCUCAUUUUCUAUUUUCACUUGGUCUGGGACACCAUCCCUUGUGGAAUGGCCCUGCCCACAUUUAGGGUUAGUCUUCUGACCCCCACUAACCAAAUCUAGGUAGUCCUUCAUACAGCUUUAAAGGGAUGGGCAGCCCUAUAGAACUAAUAGGAAAUGGGAAGCCAUUUCCACAGGGGCCUUAAGGGAGAAGACAGGGUAUCAGAACCUGGGGACAGUCGCUAUGGCUACAACAGGGCUACCUGACAGGAUACAUGGAUUUAGGUUAAGGAGUUCUGUAAGCAUUAGACUGAGCCUAGAAGUCAAUUGUCAGCACAAUAAACACACCUACCCUACCUUCUGCAAACAUAGGGAGCCCUGCCUGUGUCUCAUAUGAGCUGCCCAGCCACAGGUAGAUUGGCGCUGCCACCCAGACUCAGCAGGAUGUAAAAGUGGAAGGCCUGCAUGGCACUCCCGUGUGUUUAUGAGUGCAAAAGUAAAAAAAUAAUUUUAAAUGUACCUAUUGGGGUCUUAGGGUUUCUAUUGCUAUGAAGAGACAUGGUGACCGUGACAACUUUAUAAAGAAAAACAUUUAGUUGGGGCUGUCUUAUAGUCCAGAGGUUUAGCCCAUUGUUGUCUUGGAGGGAAGCUGGUGGCACACAGACACAGUGCUAGAGAGUUAGCUGAGAAGUUUGCACGCAGGUCAGCAGGCAGCAGGAAAGGAGAGAGACUCUGGGCCUGGCUUGACAUUUGAAACCUCAAAGCCCACCCCCAGUGACACACUUUCUUCCAACAAUGCCACCCCUCCAACAGUACCACUCCUCGUGAGCCUCUGGUGGCUAUUUUUCUUCAAACCAAUACACUUGGUUAAGCUGGAAAACACUGGUGAGUUCCACUAUACUGAGUCAGCGUAAAGAAUGACUGGUUUAAAAUGUUUCCCUCACACAGUGAGCCAGGAACCUAGACUGCUAGCUCGAGGUCAACCAGUUGUUUAGUGGAUGCGGUGGGUAGGAAGAAAGAACCAGAGUAGUCAUCGCAAGCAGUAAAUUAUAAAUACGAAGUAAAGUAAGUCACAAACAGUAAAUUUAAACACAAAGUAAAUUAAAAACCUUUGGUUUAACUUAAUUUACUUUGUGUUUAUAAUUUACUGUUUGUGAUACUAAUUGUAGCAACAGAAACUGAACUAAGGCCAGCUAUAGUGGUGUAUGCCUUUAAUAUCAGUACUCAGGAGGCAGAGGCAGGCAGAUCUCGGAGUUUGAGGCUAGCCUGGUCUACAGAGGAAGUUCCAGGAUAGCCAAGGAUAUACAGAAAAACGCUGUCUCAAAAACAAAGGAAAACUGAACUAAGACAGACAUACAAAUGUUUACACUAAGGAUAGCUAAUAGUUUAGGCUCCUAGCAGUUGAGAGUUAUUACUAAAGACAGCCUCUACUUAUAUUGGUACUCUUCUAAAGUUAUUUGCACUAGUUAAUCUCCCAAGAUCCCCGUGAGUAGGUCACAGGUUUCUCUGCCUCUGGCUCUCUCAUGGACUUGCUGGUGGCUGCUUGACUGACUGGAAUUUCCAAGUCUCCUUCCUGACCAUGCUCACAUCUAAUGGAGGUUGAAAAUAAAAACUGUAAGUGUGCACACACUGGAUGCUCUUGACUGGUGCCCAGCUCCCAUUAAUAUGCUGCCACAUACUUGAGUUUAACUGAUGUCCCAACCCUGAGGCAGUUGACCAUGGGCUGUCAGUUGGCUUGCCUCACAUUAGCCAAGCUGGGGUCAUUCAGGGUAAAGCAAUGUCCUAGCUCCUACUCUUCUCAGCCUAUGUAAGAAGGAGAAGACAACCCUUCCCUCUGUGUGGGCUGUAUGGUUACAGAACUCCUGCCGUUUGCUGCCCCAAGACAACCCAGGGAUGUCGUGACUGACAUAUGGGCAAAUGCAGGAACAGAAUCAAGACCACCAGACCGGAGGCCCCAUGGCUUCCAAGCCUCUCUCCUCCAGGAGGACCACCCUCUCUAAGUGUUCCAACCGAUUACAGUUUUGAUACCUAGAUAAAUGUUUUUUUUCCCCAAUGCAAAACCUUGUGAACUUACAGGUAAAGCAAGACUGAAAGUGUCACAUUAGACCAUUUAAGGGCUGUCAUGAAUUCUGAAGCAAUCUAAUCCUGUUUUGGUGUCCUGUGGACAAGCACCAGCUUGCCAAUGGAAGUGGAGGCCUGGACGGGUAACCCAAGGAAUACUGGUCCCAAGGGCUCCACAGAGGAGCCAGUGCUACAGCCUGAAGAACAGGGCUUGGGUCCCACUACAGUGGGAGUCUGCAUUCCCAGGCCAUACUUCCUGGGCUCCAGUCUCACCUAGCCUGCUCCUUUGGGUUAGCUAUUUGACCUCAAUAAUGAACUGAUGAUGACUGAGGUAAGACUAUUUCCUCUGAAUUGAAACUGCCCCCCUAAGGGGGGAGGGAGGUUUCUAAGAUGCAGGAAGCUGAGGAUACUUUCCAAGCCCAGAAAGUUCGAAAGACAAGACUUACAAGUCGCCUAUCAAAAGUUUUAUUUUGUUUUUUGUUUUUUUCCUUUUCCUUUUGGUGCGUGUGCAUGUGUCUCUGAGUCUGUGUGACACAUGACCCAGUGUUCAUGUGGAAGUCAGAGGACAACUUUUAGGAUUUGGUUUUCUUCUGUCAUGUGGGUUCUGGAGAUCAAAAUCAGAUCCUCAGACUUGUUCCACAAGUGCUUUAGCAUGCUGAGCCAUCCCUCCAGUCCCAGAAGUUUUAUGUAGGAGCAGAAAGCAAUUGCUGAGAGAGAAAAGGCUCUUCAGUGGAAGUGCCUACAAGCUGUGCAAAGAAUUCUAGAGCUGCAGCUUCUGGGGGCUGUCACCCCCACUGGUGGAGGACUUCUGGCAAGACAGCUGCCCGAGUCUCUCAUGUUCCUAUAAAUACCCAUGCUCCUGUACAUAGGCCUAGUAAACUCACUGGCUUAUCAAGCUUGACUUCUUUGCAUUCACUUGCUUGUUUCUCAUUGGUGCCCUACAGGAGCAAACAGACAUUUCUUCACAUCUUCCCAGGAAAGGUCAUGCCAUAGAGGAGGCCUCUCCCAUCAGGAGCUUCAUAGCUGAGCACCAGGAUAUCAUGGAGACCAAGACAUCCCUCCUCUGUGGUGGUGGUGGAAAGGGCUGGGGACAGCAAUGAAACCUAACAGAAGGACCCAGAGAGAGCCCACCCUGUGGAACUUCUUGGGGUGAUGGACGUGUUGAGUAUCUUGACUGUGGUAGCGAUUCGGUGAUAGACAGCAUGUGUCCGUCCAGACUCACUGAAAUGUACACCCUUUAAAGAAACGACAAGUCUUGGGCUGUGCACAUGGCUUAGUUGGUAGAAUGCUUGCUUCGAAUGACACAAAGGCCUGUAUUUGACCCCCAGCUCUACAGAAAACCUAACGGCAGACCGUGGAAACAGAGCCAGGAGGCUCCUAAGUUCAAGGUUAUUCUAGGCCAGUGGUUCUCAACCUUCCUAAUGUUUGACCCUUUAAUACAGUUCCUCAUGUUAUAGUGACUCCCAACCGUAAAGCUAUGUCAUUGCUACUUCAUAAUUUUAAUUUUGCUGCUGUUAUGAAUCCUAAUGUAAAUAUCUGAUAUGUAACUCCCAAGGGGCCGUGACCCACAGGUUGAGAACUGUUAUUUUAGGCUAUAUACUGAUUCCAGAGCCAACUGGAUGCCAUAUGAGGCCCCGCCUCAAAACACUUGGCAAGCUUUAUGUUUGUAAUUCUUCAGUGUGGAGCCUGAUGCCUCCUGCCUCAUGCAGGUCAGGCAAGCUUUCCACCACUGGUCUAGAUCCCCAACCCUCUUUUUAUCUUUCAUUAGAGACAGAGUCUCACUGAGUUACCCAGGAUGCCUUGAACUCCUUCUGUGCUCAGGCAGGCCUUGAACUUGUGAUUCUUCUGCAUCUGCCUGCAAAGGAACUGAAAUGUCUGCCCUUAACAGGCCAUGUAAAAACUGGGGACCUUUACUAUAUAAAUAACAUCUUGAUAAAUCAUGAAAUUGUGUGGUCCACUCAGGAAGCAGAUGUAAACUGGGGAGCCCUAAACAAACAAGCACUGUAAGAAAUACUUCCAAGAACAAGAAUUUGACACUGGUGAGGGGGAGCCCAGGGAAGUAGGCAGUAACAAACCAGAAGGAACUGGGAGAUUAUUCUAGAGGGUAAGAGCAGCAGCUGCCAAGGUUCCUGUGGAGCAGUAGCAGGAUUCAUGGUGUAGCUGGAGCAUUGUCAGCAGAGGUAUAUGAGUGUGGCUGGGUGGAGAGAGUACAGUGAGGCAGAGCUGGGAGAGGCUAGACCAGCCCCUGCCUCGGCCUCAUUUUAGAACGUGAGGAAGAGAGUUGGGGGCCACUAAACAGAGGGUUGAGUUCCCAAGAGGUUCUGCCUCCGGGUCACUUGGUGCUUGGCUCCAGAUGGCCCUGGAUUCUCCUCGCCUCUCUCUGUUCAGGUCCUGAGAGGUUGGUAAUACGCACAGGAGCCUCAGGCCUGCACAGGAACUCACUUAGGUACACACACGCUCCUUCCCCUGUGUAUCAUGUAAAUGAAUGGUACUUGUCCUGCUUAGAGACUUUUCCUGCAAAUUCCACUCACCCAGAAAAUUCCAGUUACUGGAAACAAGGUAUAAUUCCACAUAGGAAGUUUUGUCUGUCUCUCUUACUGAGCCCUCCCAAGCCUGGCCGGCUCCACUUGGGCUGAGCUCAGUAGGAAGCUGCUGAUCCCUUAAAGGGCUAGUACUCAGAAAUUACCAUCUGACAGCAUCCCAUCGCAUCUCUGUGACACUGGAGUUCCCAGGAUCCCUGUGACUACAGUAACCAUUGGGCACCCACUGGACUCCCAGCAACUGGAAAAUAGGGAGCUAAAGGGAAGUGAGUGAACUCCACUCACAACCUCAGACUCAUCCCAGAAUUCCAGAUCCAUUGGCUAUGGGGAAAGCCUUAGAGGCCUUUCCCUGCCUUAUCUGUCACCCUUUAAGAUGCCAUCUUAGGAAGGGGAUGCAGGCUAAAUAUAACCUCAGUUUUCUAACAUAAUAAUUUGGUAGAACUGCUUUAUAGAAUCCUGGGAACCAGGGCCAGCAUCAAUCUGUCCCGGGGAGCUGGAUCACCCCAGCAGCCUUGCCUGGGCUGAUGUACUUGUAUUCUGGUCACCUGUGAACUCUGCAACAGCUUCUCUCUGUAGCAGUCCAGCCGAUUUAUUGGUGUCACCACCACCUUCUGGGAUGCUGAGGCUUAGGAAGCCAUAGAGGGUGACAGGGGAUGGUGAUAUAUCAGGCUUCUGGAGUCAGUAAGCCAAGGUUACAGAAACAUGGCUAUUACUAGACAAAUGGCAUUCUUUGUGAACAGUAUUUCCUUGGGUGAGAGCAAAACCAUCAAUUGGUCCUAUCCAUUCUUGUUUGACAUCUGUCCUUCUUCAGCAAGACCUCAUCCUUCCUACCCAAGGCUCUUAGACAAGUCACCACCUCCACCAACCUUCCCUCAUUGUACGUCCCCUUUAGAGAGCUUGGAGGCUGUCUACCAGCAUGGGAUGGGGAAUACACAGGACACUGGUAUUGCCAAGAAGGGGAUGGACAUGAGGACAUGCCAGGGUAGGGUCUGGCUCAGGAGGUGGCUUAGACAAAGGGGUAAAGAGGGACACAGUUCCCAGUUGACUGAGGGGUGAGGGUUGCUCAAAUAGAUGGGCCUAGCCUGCCGUCACACUGUUCUCACAGAGGGUAGUCUAGGUGAGGUAAGGAGUGAUCCCUAGCCACAAGGUCACUGACCAUUUGGAAGCCAGAAGGGCUCCAAGCUAGGUGAUUGUUAACUGACCAGGGCAGCCAUCAUCUGGAAGUUCUGAAAACUGCUGUGUGGACUUCCUGUUUGUAUUGUUGUCUGUAUUGUAUUGUCUUCUUCUUUCCCUGUGUCUGGCCUUCUCUCCCAUCUCCGCUCUAUACCACCCACCCCCAACUAACUGAAAUGGAAGCUGUCACCUGAGCUCUAGCCUCAGAGACGCUCCCCUGGUAUAGGACUGCCUUCCAUUCCCAGGAUCUUUCUUGGGUGUAUAGUACCCACGAGCUGGGAUACUAGCUGCCAUGGAUCAUCCCGGAAGUCUCCUUCUUUGGGGUUCCAGUGGCCUCACUUUGGGUCAAAGGAUCAAGAGCUUUCCAUGCAUACCUGCAUGGCUCUCACGGGCUUUCCUUGAGAAGGGUUGUUGAGUCUACAUCAUGGUGAGUAACCUUUGUGUCCCUUUAUUCAACAAAUAUUGAUUGAACUCCUUUGCUGCUUUUGCCUUUGUGAGAGAAUGGCUUCCUAUGUACUUUCCAGCCAGAAAACAAACCUUUCCCACAGACAUUGUCAUCCUGGUCCCUGAGACCUUCCUUGUAGUUGGGUUUAUAGGUAUGAGGAACGAUCUGGAUAAGGUGUCAUGGCCACACACACAGAGACACACACACGGGUAGUGGAGAUCGGAUGUGGAAGCUGGGGCUUCAAGGAUACAAAAGUGAAUGGCCUGUGUGGGAAUAAAUAGACCUGACAAGGAAGGCCCAACUCAGUGACCCUACUAAUCACACCCUCUGCUUCAGGUGGAUCCCAUCAAUCCUGUGACACUCGAGCCAGCAGAACCAUCACCUUCCUGUCCUCACAGGUUUCACAGCCUUGUUUUCUAGGCUGGUUCUCAAGAGCAAGUGGCAUCAACUCAGAUCUGGCCUUGGUCAGGCACAGCUGCUUUGCAGGGAGUCUUCUGGCCCUAUAUUGUGGCAUUAGAACACCCAAUUCUUCCCCAUGUGAUUCAUCCCUGCACCCCCACCUAUCGACCCUGCACAAUUAGGUGUUUUAGUGUUUGGGCUUUGCACAUGCAGUUUUAUAAUUUCAGAGAGUCGGUGAUUAGUCUGAGGUCCUUUGACAUUGAACGUAGCAUUGGAUGUCAUGUAUACUUUUUGGGGUCAUUGCCAGGUUUCCUGUCUCCCAUGUAAGGGUGCCAGUCCCACUUUAGAGCUGGUUCAGGCCUCCUAGUGAACUAGGAGCCAGGGGCGGACACAGUCAGAUGUCUUGUGAAUCUGGCCUUUCUGGGCACUGGGAUUUGUUCUCUCAUUCCAAGCAUGUGAGUGUCGACCUUCAUUCCAGCAUUUCUCAGGAAUUUGCUGAUGCAGGGAUCUUGGUUGCUGAAACCUGCUUCCUGCUCUCCUCAAGCCUGACCAAGAGCUUGUGUGGGCAAAGAGAUCUACCCAGGCUGCCUCUACUUCUCCAUGCGUGCUAGGCUUGGCAUCUCAAUAUCCCCAGUGUGCCUUCACAUAUGCCCCCUCUCUCCUGUGAAGACAGACCGGAUCAGCUGGCAUGCGACAGAAUCCUCCACUGCCUCCUGCUCCUUCACCUUCUCCCCAGAAAGCAGCUGGUGCUAAGGAACGUCCGUGCUAAUGUGCUCUAGAGCCCUCCGACAUCUGGGAUGGAGAGUCAGGGCCAGGACCAUGUUGGGUGCUGAACUUGAAGCUGUCCUGCUAGUUCAAAGACUGUUGAGACCCCAAUACAGGAGUUACAGAAAGGACUGCAGGAGCUGAAGGGGUUUGCAACCCCAUAGGAAGAACAACAUUAUCAACCAACCAGACUCCCCGGAGCUCCCAGGAACUAAACCACCAAACAAAGAGUACACAGGGAGGGACACAUGGCUCCAGCCGUAUAGGUAGCAGAGGAUGGGCCUUGUGGGGCAUCAAUAGGAAGAGAAGCCCUUGGUCCUGUGAAGGCUCAAUUCCCCAGGCUGGUGAGGUGGGAGUGGGUGGGUGGGAAGGGGAGGAUCCUCAAAGAAGCAGGGGGUGGGGGGUUGGAGAGGGGGAACUAGGAAAGGGAAUAACAUUUGAAAUGUAAAUACAUAAAAUAUCCAAAAAAUAGUAAACUAUCAAGAAAACAAAGUAUUAUAAGAAAUAAUAAAGAAUAAUAUUAAGAAAGUUAAGAAAUAGAGUGUAAUAUGACAUUGCUGUUAGAUUCUAGAUGGUUCUAACCUUCCUAAUGCUAUUAAAUGACCAUUUAAUAAAGUUCAUCAUAUUGUGGUGAACAGUAAAAUUAUUUUCAUUGCCGCAUCAUAACUGUAAUUUUGUUAUGGUUGUGAAUUGUAAUGUAAAUAUCUGUGUUUUGAGAUGGUUUUAGGCGAUCCUGUGAAAGCAUCAUUAAAUCCCCAAAGGCAUUCCGACCCACAGGUUGAGAACCACUGAAUAGUCACUGGACUAUUUAGAACUCUAAUGAAGGCUAUUAGAAGUGUUUCAGGUCUAGACCAUUUCAGCUGUAUCAAACAGAAAAACCUCUUCUGUGUAUCUAAGGACUGCCAAGUCCUAGAAUGCUUGGACAAAGCUUAUGAAGCUUCAUUUAGUGGGGGAAAAUAAUUCAACUUUUUAACUUUCUCAACUGUGCUUUCUGUCCUUGUAAUUACUUGAUUCAUUUUCCUGAAGCUAAUAUCCUAUUUCAGUAAUGAAGUCAAUUUCUAAAUUCCUCUCAAAAAAAGAAAAAAGAACUAAUGUUUAACUAUACAAAUGUGUCAGGUUUGAAAAUCUGUAUAUUAUAAUCUACAUGUAUCUUAUAAUAAAUGAAUUUCUGCUUUGGGCAAAAUUUACCUACAUCUUGCAAAACUGUGUAUUUGGAGGUGUUAAACAUAAUAUUAUAUUAAAAAAAUAAAAUUUGUCAACGACAAAAAAUCCUCCUUUAACUUUAAAAAAUAAAAAAAAAAGACUGUUGGGACUGCAGAUUCAACUACCAGAAGCUAUGAGAGAAGCCCAGAAGGCUAUCCUAAAAGGGGUGCGGAAGUUGACUGCAAUGGGUCUCCAUCUGGUCAGGAGCUCACACACUGUUGCCCGUUUUUACUAUCAUGCCGGAGCUUCCUCUAGCUCACACCACCUUCCACUGUCUCUGCAGCAGGAAAACCCUACCAUCUCCAGGUUUCUCUUCGCCCUCCCCACCCAGUUUUCAGCCGUGGCAUCCGGGGUAGGUAAUCAGUGUCAACUGACUGAUUUGGAAUCACCAUGGAAACACACUUGUGGGUGUGUCUGAAGAAGGAAGCUCCACCUUGAAUUGGGCAGCAGCGACCCAAGGGCUGGUGUUCCACAUGCACCGGAAGUGGAGAAAUGAAGAAAGUGAGCUGAGUGCAGCGAUCAUUCUCUCCUUCCCGAUGGCAGGUGCAAGCGGAACCGUAGCUUCACACUCCUGCCGCCGCCCGCCAUGCCUUCUCCGCCAUGCCUUCUCCGCCAUGCCUUCUCCGCCAUGCCUUCUCCGCCAUGCCUUCUCCGCCAUGCCUUCUCCGCCAUGCCUUCUCCGCCAUGCCUUCUCCGCCAUGCCUUCUCCGCCAUGCCUUCUCCGCCAUGCCUUCUCCGCCAUGCCUUCUCCGCCAGGACAGAAUGCACCUUCAAACUGUGAGCCAAAACAAACCGUUCCUCCCUUAAGUUGUUUUUCUCAGAUAUUUCAUUGUAGCAACAAGACAAAAAAACGAAUACAGCAACUCACUGACCUCUUUCACUGCUGGGUUUUUGCUGUCGUUGCUGUUGUUUUUGUUUUCUGUAUUUUCUGGCUGAUGUCCAUUUCCCUAACUCUCCAAACUGGGGACUUUAUUCAUAUGUCGGAGAAUCCCUACCACGCCAUGGCAAUCCCUUCAGUGUUUGGCCCACACUGACUGUGCAUCACUGUCUUAGUUAGGGUUGCUAUUGCAGUAAUCCAAAACCAUGCCCAAAAGCAAUUUGUGGAGAACAGGUUUAUUUCACUCACAGUUCCAAACAACAGUUAUCAUCAAAAGCAGUGAGGGCAGGAACUCACUCAGGGCAGGAACAUGGAGGUGGGGAGCUGAUGCAGAGGCCAUGGCGGCUCAUACUCACUGGCUUGCUCCUUGUGGCUUCUUGCUCAGUUUGUCUCCCUUAUAGAUCCCAGAACCACCAGCCCAAGGAUGACACCAUUCUCAAUGGGCUGGGUCCUGCCCCACUUAAAAAAUGCCUUACAGGUUUGCCUACCAUCCUUGCCUAUGAUCUCACAGAGGCAUUUUCUUAACUGAGGUUCCCUCGUCUCAGAUGACUUCAGCUUGCCUCAGGUUGACUUAAGGCUAUCCAGCACACUCAGGUAGCUGUAGGCCUGGACAGUCAAGCUGUGAAUGAGGCAAUAAGACCCUGCCCUCCAUCCAGAGCUUAUGAGAAUGAGUAAUACCCUCACUAAUCUUACUGUAUGCGUCCCCACACCCAGCCUUUGUUCAUUAUCCAUUUUAGAGAGAGAGAGAGACAGAGACAGAGACAGAGACAGAGACAGAGACAGAGACAGAGACAGGAACCCUUAUCCCCACAGGAGGCUAGGCCAGCACUGCCUUGCACAGCACUCAGACUUGUGCUUGUUGCUGUAGCUAACACCAUCCCCCACACUCCAUCCAGUCUGACAGAGGCGGAAGAAAAAAGCUAGAGGUAGGGGAAGGAAGAUGACAGACAGGCUGGGGCUGGUUGGGCAGGUCCCAGAGGAUCUGUGUGGCCACAAAGAUUCUCAGUCCUGAUUGCUCUUGGCAGCCUACUGAAAAGGUACAAGGAAAUGUCACACUUUCCUGAAGGUAGAGAGCAUGGAUGAAGCCCAUCUGUUGGCUGUUUGUCACAUCAGAUCCUUGGUUCUCAAUCUUCCCACCGCUUCGACUGGUUAACACAACCCUUUCCUCAUGUUCUGGUGACCCCGACCCCUAACCACAAAGCUAUGUUCAUUAUCACUUCAUAACCGCAGUUUUGCUACUGUUAGGAAUUGUAGUGGUCGCCUGGGGGUCUUGACCCAUAGGUUGAGAACCACUGCACUGGCCUGUCUUGCACUUUACGGAAGCGCCCGCUGUGUGCUGUUCUGAAAAGAUCUCAGCAGACACUGGAGACUGCUGACCAAGAGACUCAGAGUGAAUUGAAUCCUCGUCUACCAUCUGCUUGCGGAUCACAGGACCUCAGACAAGUUACCCAACCAUUCUGUGCCUCAAUGCCCUCAUCCUCAAUAUUAAAUGGGCACGCCGCUGCUGAAGUCCACACCAAUAAAAUGCAGAGGGUUGCGGUCGGGAUUCCUUGAUUAGCAUAUACCGUGUACCGAGCAGAUAGUAAGUGCCAGUGUUAGCGCUGGCCUCAAGACAAGGACGUCCUUCACUUCCAACAGUUUUCCAUCUCCUCUCAGCAGACAGCAUACUGGUUGUCAGCGCACUCUCUGGUAGAAAGCCCUUAGUGACCAGCUAACCACCCAGUCCCCUACCCUGACAAUGGAGGCUCCUUGGGAAGCUGCCUGGUGAUCUCUGCCCAGGUCCACAGGACAGACCCACAGCCACACCUACAACCGACCCUCCUCCACGGGCAUCUCCAGUUUGGCCCACUGGGCAUGACAGCCCUUCUUUUCUGGAAAGCUGCUUGGCAACUCAUAUGUAGAACAGUACACAAGUUCUUACCCUUUGACCUAGUAAUUCUGUUUCCAGGAAUCUGCCCUUGAGGAACUCAGCAGAGAGGUGUGCAGAAUUUUAUGACUAAUUUUGUCCAUUGUAGCACUGUUGGUAUUUUAUAACAAAAUAAGAAGAAAAUGAGAGGUGUUAGACUCUAGGGAAAUGGGGAGCCACACUUCCAUGGCAGUAGAUGGCUUUAAUAACCCCAAAGUCUCACAGGGAAUGCAGUGACAAAUGGAGGUGCACCAGGCAACAAGUCACUCAGGCCUGGACCACCUCUUACUCUCAUCAUGGCUGGGGGCCUAAUGUGAGGAAUGGCAGGGCUGGAGGCUGGCAGAACACAGGCUACCCACCCUGCACUGAGCAGUAAGGCUGCUGCUGUCUUUUAUUAGUUCCUAGGGGCUCCUCUGAAGUAAGGGUCAACCCACCAUGUUAAUGGGCAGGAACACAAAGCUUAAAGGGGUUAAAGAGCUGCCAGGGGCCUCACAAGGACUCUAGGUAGGGAACUGAUUGUUUUGAAUCACUCUCCUUCUCCCCGAGGCCCGUAGCUGUGUCGUAUCUCAUGCUCUGUUCCUUCGAGCUCCUAGUGGCUCUCAGACAACAGUGCUCAUGUGUAGAAUAGUACACAAGUACACUCACCUUAGCCACCCAGAGACCCAUGCUGGACAGACAUGAUUCAGAGUUCCCAGCCUGCCAGAAACAAAUUCAAAUCUACACAGCGCCUCUCUGUAUAGCCCCGCAAGCCAUUUUGCUACUUCAGGGUUCAGCUGUUGCUUUAACAUCCUCCAAGAAACAGACCAAAACCAUCCUGGAGCUACAGACGAAAACUGUCCCAUGUACAAUGCACAGCAGCUUGGCAGGUAGUGUUUUUCAGAUGAGGAAACCAAGGCUUUGAAAAUAUUAUGAGAAAUGCCUUGUUCAAGGUCCUGGGGUUAAGCAGAGGUACGGGUGGGGAACAUUCAUCUCUUCCAAAGUCCUGGCCCUUCUCAUUUCAAAACUGCAUUAUGCAAGAUAACUCAUUGCUAUAAAAAUGCCCUCCCCAGGCUGGAGAGAUUGCUCAGUGGUUAAGAGCACUGACUGCUCUUCCAGAGGUCCUGAGUUCAAUCCCCAGCAACCACAUGGUGGCUCACAACCAUCUGUAAUGAGAUCUCAUGUCCUCUUCUAGUGUGUCUGAACACAGCUACAGUGUGCUCAUAUAAAUAAAAUAAAUAAAUCUUAAAAAAAAAAGUCCUCCCUGCACACCUGUCCUCUCCUCUCACCUUCUUUUCUGAAAUAGGAUCAAACCCUGGCUGGCUGAGAACUUGUCAUCCUCCUGCCUCAAACUCUUGCAUGCUGGGAUCAAGGUAAGUACCACCAGGCCCAUCAAAAGCCAUCCCUUUCUAAGGCAAGGUACAGUGACUUGGUGUGUCUGCAGGACUGUACAGUCCUCUCCACAAUCUAAUUUGAAAACACCUCAUCACUUCACCAAGGAACUCUGUGCCCAUCACAGUUAUGCCUGCCCCUCCUCCAACUCCUUCUGUCCCCCUCAACCCCCCCACUUUCUGUCUCUAUAGCUUUACUUAAUCUGGGCACUUCCCACAAGUGGAACUAUUGUAUGUGCUCUUCUGAGACCGGAUUCUUUCACUUAGACGGUUCUUAAGGUCUGUUCAUGGUUAGCAGGAAUGAACACUUCACUCCUAUUACAGCUGAGUAGGACCCCAGGUGUGGUGGCUCCUCUUGUCCAUCCAUUACUGUCAUUCAGUGGACUCGUGGGCUAUAUCCACCUCUUGCUCGUUAUGAACCCUGUGCCUCUGAACGUCACAUACAGUUCAGCGUGUGCGCUGGUGUUCAUUUGAGGAGCGUUCAUACAGGAACGGUUGGAGAGUAGCCUCCCUUCACUGGGCCAUUUCUCAGAACCUUGGCACGUCAACAUGCAUCUUCCAAAUGUAUUUGGACAGGAAACUACUUUCCCCAUGAAGUAUCCAGGAAGACGUUGGAAAGUCUGAUUGAAUGCACCCAUUUUGCACCCCCAUCCUAGAAGCGCGUAAGAAGUGACCUAUUGCAGGAGACCAAAGGAGCAUGCGGCUGUCUGGAUGGAAAGAAGCUUCAUAAACAAAGGCUUUUCAAGAGUCACAAAGGCAUUGGAAAAAUGAAUGUGGCUCCAUACAUAAACACCCAGAUGUCUGAACCUCAAGCUACAGAUGAACACAAUUAUGGAGCAAAUGGCCGUGCUAAGAUAGCCCCACUAUAUUUUACCCCUGACAUUAAGGAGAAAUCCCAAGCGAUACCAACAACUGUGACCCUCAAGCCUUACCACAGAGAUAGACUUCAUCUAGAGCUCCUGGAUCGGUGGCUCGGUGACAUGGCUCAGCAGGUACAUGCGUUUACUGCCAAGGCUAAUGGCCUGAAUUUGUUUCCCAGAACCCAGAUGGUGGAAAGAGAAAACCAAGUCCACAAAUUAUCCCCUGACCUCCACAUGCAAGUGCCUCUUUCACUCACGCGAACAAACAAAUCAACGUUCAAAACAUUGAAAGCUCCUGAGUGAUUAUACUAUAAAUUUAGUAUUAAAAAUUAGAAGUGCAGGGGUUGGGGAUUUAGCUCAGUGGUAGAGCGCUUGCCUAGCAAGUGCAAGGCCCUGGGUUCGGUCCCCAGCUCCAAAAAAAAAGAAAAGAAAAAAAAAUUUAGAAGUGCGUAUAUUAUACAAUUUACAGGUCAUGACUUAUUAAGAUAUAGCAGUAAGGAAAAGGCUCUGUGAUCCAAUAGCAAAACAAGUAAAAGCCAAACACAUUUGUCAAAGAAAUAGGAAAACUGGUUCAAAUUUACUAUGAUGCAAUGAAGUAUAAACAAUGUGUUUAUCAAACACAUCUAUGGUUCUGUAACUUGCAGUAUCUCAUUUAGGCCUUUCAACUGAUUCUCUGCUGUAUCCGUAUCCUAGAGACAGAGAAGCUGAGGCCAGGCCAUGACUCCUAGCUCCCGAUGCCUACGGGGGCAGAAUGGCAACUGUUCCUUUGGCCUGGGAACCAGAGUUUUAAUCAACACACUGAGCCUCAUUUCCACAAGCUUGCCUUCCUAUCCACAAAGUGAGAAAACCUUUUAAAGUACUGAUUCUCUGUGCUGGGGAGGAAAUGGGGACUGGGGUGCCCAGUUUUUUCCAUUGUAGGCAGAACUUUCAACUGAUAAAACAUCUCUGGAAAACCAUUUGUUAAUGUGUAGCCCAAGUCUUCAAAGUGCUGACUCCUGGGGCCAGACCUCCACCUAUAUUCACGUGUUCUGAAGUAAAAGCCAGCAGGAAGACAUAGCUUUAGCCAUAAGCACCGUCUCUCAAGUCAAAAGACAACAGAAAAGUAGUUUUAGAUGAAUUUUCUUCUAAAGUAAACUAAAGUUCCUGUUGAGUUCUUCAAGAGAAGAUACAAAGAGUUGCUUUUGCUCUUCUGUUUGCUUGUUUGAGACUGGAUCACUGGUAGCCCUUCAACUCAAAGCUGAAGCUGUCCUUGAACCUCAGACCCUCUCACCUCUACCUCCCAAGGGCUAGGUUUGCAGGAAUGCGCCUCCACAACCAGACACCACCUCUGACCCUCCGAAUUCCUAUGGGUCAAGCAUUCCUCCGGCGGUGCCUGGGUCUGGUGCUGGAAUUGCUACAGAAUCCCCGCCAAACCUGCUUCCACUGAGCCCAGACCAUCCUUUGUUCUGAGCACUACGUGGUACAAGCCACAUUCCUUUGCAAGGCCAGUGAUUUUCUCAUAUGUCAAGUCUGCUACCAAAAACUUGACAACUAUUCUCUGAAAAAUGUUUUCUAUAGCUAAUUUGGGCCUGAUCCUUGCAAAGGUCAACGGGAAUCUCAGCCCAAGUUCAUAAGAUAAGAAAAACAGGGAAGUCCAGCAGCUUGUCCAAGGUCACGGCCAAGGUGUAAAUGGUUAAAGGUGAGGAACCCCAGCCUCCUCCACUUUAUUUCCCUGAAUAGAUUCUAUAUCUCAGCCAAGGAUAGUUAGCAAAGACAACUUCUUGCUCUGCUAGGCUUCUGUAUGGCCAAAGAUUGGCCACCAUUUGGAACCAUGUUCUACCUUGCUCUGAUGGUCAAGUACAAGACUCCAGCAUGCUAAGUACGUACAGGUUCAAAGCCCUGUCUCUGCCGUUGUCUUCCGAUAGGGAGGACUCGAUGAUCUGCAUUCAUACUCUCACCCUUUCCCUAAUUAAACAUCAUCUUGAUAGAAUCACUGUCUGGCCAGACCAGAGUGUGGGGUCCAGGUGCUGUCAUUAGCAUCUCUCCUUUACCUCUGCUGACACACAGAGGAAAGACUUUCAGAAAGGCAGAACACGUGGUAUCAGGGCUGUGGAGUGCUGGAGUCAGUGAACUUUGGAGUUGAAUCCUAGUUUCGACAGUUAGGACCUCAUGAUCUUGAGUAAUACAGCCAGUCUCUCAAAGUUUCUGUUUCCUGUCUAUAAAGGGAUGAUGAAAACCCUGGAUCACAAAGCCAGCACCACCACGAGCCUGUGGUGCUGUCCCUGGCAUAGGAAGGGCAGGUAGAGGCUGGGCAGACCCUGUCUGGUCAUGUGCUCUGCACUGUGCUGGGACAGAGGAACAUUCUAGAAUGCUGCUCUUCAAUCCAUCCAAGGAUGGUCCCUCGUAGUAAUGGGUGCCAUCCUCUGGGGAGAUGUGACUUGUGACUGCCCUGAGUAAUGUCCUGCAGGGUCAGAAGCCAUGAGCCAACUCUGGGACCCACCCAGGGACAAGGGCAGUUCUCUGUGGGUCAUGUUCACUGGAAGCUUGCUAUGGAUAGUGUCCCUCACGCUGACUUCCUCUUCUUUAAGAAGACCCAUGGCCCCAGAGUCCUCACUGAAUUCUACCUUUUCCUUCCACACAGGCAAACCCAACCUUCUCUCAGAUCGAGUCAAGGAAAACGAAACCUUUACUGAAGACUAAGUCCUAAGCAACUUACAUAUAUGCUACAGUGACAGUGUCCAGAAAAGUGUGUGCAACACAGGCGCUGUGCCUGCUCGGGCCUCAGAAACCACGAGUCCACACCACUGGUACAUGGGAAGCUCCCACAGGUGCUAGAAGAACUGAGGAUGAAAACUCAUGGCCGCAGUACUCCAGAGACUCAAGGAGCUUAAGCGACAUGGAUAGAGAAGUUAAAACGUCCUGUCCUUCCUGAUGAACAUGUGAGGAACCGAUCAGCAUUAUCGGGCGACAGAUUGCUCAGCAGGUCAGAGCAUUUGCUGUUCUUGCUGUUGGUGGUUCCCAACACCCACAUCAGGGGGCUCACAAACAUAAGAAAAUCCAGCUCCAAAGGACCAGACAACCCCUUUUGGCCUCCACAGGUACUCACAUCCAUGGGGUACACACAAAUAAUAAAUGUUUUUAUUUGUUGUAAAGACUAGCUCAUCAGCAUAUCAGAACAGUUUAAGCCCAUGCAAGCUUUAGGCUCACUUAGCAGUCCAGUCUGUUCGUACGACAGAUCCUAUCUUAGUCCCCUUAGGGUUAGGAUUGUAAGUGUGCACCAGCACACUCAGUGUGAAUGUCUAUUAGUUAAGACUGAAUGGACUGUUUCCUUUGCUUACUAAUCAUAACAAAUUCCUGCUUCCAAACACGCAUGCGCGCCCACACACACACUCACACUCACACACACACUCACACACACACACACUCACACAGACUCACACACACACCUGUUGAAUGUGUGGACAUCACAUUUUGUCUUUUAAUCUAUUUUUAAGAAACAAUUUACUGAUCUAUCCAAGAAUUAUUAGAAUACAAGGCAACAUGAACAAGAAUCAUCUGCCCAGGCUAUGGAUCUUAGUUUUGUUCCCCAGUGGUUAAACUUUGAAAAGACAUUGUAAAAAUACUGCUUAUUUUAUAAUAAUACUGAGAUUUCCUUUUAAAUAGCUCCUUAGAGUUACUUAGUGGAAUAGCAAGUGCAUACUUUUAUCAAAGUACUAAUAGAAAGCAAACAGGAGUACAAGGCAGUUCCUACUGUUGAAGAAACAAAUGAGAACAGUUUCUUCCCCAGAGAAAUCAAAGUGUACAGGUUUCAAAAUCAACUGGGAGGAGAACAAACACCCUACCCAGUCAGCACAGACAAAAGGAGAGAUUGCUGUAUUUACCAAUGCGGCUUCCCAGCCCCACUGCCUGUAUCUUGGGUCGUGGGUGAAUCGCCAUAGAUACCAAUAGGUUUCGAUCACUUCCGGACGAAGGAUGUAAUACUUCUCAGCUUGCCGCACAGCCACUGCUUCCACUGCACCAUCAAACUUGAAUGACUCAGGACCUAGUUUUAAUGCUGUAACAUGUGAAGAAAAAAGCCAAAUAAACAAUGUGUGUGCUUUAAGGAAUACUUACUGAUCUCUCUAAAAGAAAGAGGUCUAAAGUAAUCUUUAUCUUUUGUGACUUUUCUUGCUUCCUACUGCUUUAAUUUUUAUUUAUUUGUUUUGGUGUUAAAGACCAAAGCCAGAACUCUCACAUACUAGGCUGAGCUAUACUCCUGCCCUGAAGUAACUUUGAUUAUUGUAUUGUUACUAUAUUCACAAAAUGAAUUGUUUGAAAAUAACUACAUUUGGUUUUCUUCUAACAGAGUUACGAAUAUUUCUAUUGCUCCGGCAUGAAGUACUCCUUAAAAGAAUACACAGCAAAAUGCUGCUAAGUCUGACUCUACCGAGAGCUAAGUCAUACCUUGGAACCAAAUGCAAAGGUGACUGCAGCACACAAUCCUUGAACACAAACAGAUACUAUCUGUCUCUUUAUUUGUAUUUCCAAUUUUCCUCAAUAUUUUAUAAUUUUCA